UGGCGACCGGCGCACGGGUGAGUAACGCGUAUCCAACCUGUCCUUUACUAUGGGACAGCCCGUCGAAAGGCGGAUUAAUACCGUAUGUUGUCAUGUUGAUGCAUAUUUUCAUGACCAAAGGCUUCGGCCGGUAAAGGAUGGGGAUGCGUCUGAUUAGCUUGCCGGCGGGGUAACGGCCCACCGGGGCGACGAUCAGUAGGGGUUCUGAGAGGAAGGUCCCCCACAUUGGAACUGAGACACGGUCCAAACUCCUACGGGAGGCAGCAG
rnacentral:rRNA from 1 species